GAGUAGUUUUAUGCUUGAAGACUACAUUGGACAGUUUUUUAAUAAUUAUUGUUGUUCAAAUAGAAAUAAAAUAAUUUGUAGACUGAGGCUUAGUUAGAAGAAAAUACAGCUAGAGGGGUUGGGAGAGCAUUCUAAUAUAACAGUAAAGGGAUGAUUUUACCUCCUAGGGAUUACAAUAUUUAUCAUCUGGUACAGCCUGGGUGUACAUAGGGUGUCAAAUUAGAUCACUGCGAGAAUUCUUUUAUCAUGUUUAGGAGAACUGAAGUUAAAAGAAGUUUUGACAUAUGUUUUACAAUGGAUGUCUUUUUGGGGAUAAAAAUAAAAGCAAGUACUGCCCACACAUCCCAUCACUUUUAUAUGGGAAUUUUCCUUUCCCCCAGGAAAACAACAUUAAAUGAUGUACCAUAUUUCCAUGUCUUUUAAAUACCAUGUUAUCCUUGUGUUUAUUAAUAAAAAUGCAAAUAUA